CCUACGGGAGGCAGCAGUGGGGAAUUUUGGACAAUGGGCGCAAGCCUGAUCCAGCCAUGCCGCGUGCAGGAUGAAGGCCUUCGGGUUGUAAACUGCUUUUGUACGGAACGAAAGGUUCUGCCCUAAUAAGGUGGGAAUAUGACGGUACCGUAAGAAUAAGCACCGGCUAACUACGUGCCAGCAGCCGCGGUAAUACGUAGGGUGCGAGCGUUAAUCGGAAUUACUGGGCGUAAAGCGUGCGCAGGCGGUUAUGUAAGACAGAUGUGAAAUCCCCGGGCUCAACCUGGGAACUGCAUUAGUGACUGCAUAGCUGGAGUACGGCAGAGGGGGAUGGAAUUCCGCGUGUAGCAGUGAAAUGCGUAGAUAUGCGGAGGAACACCGAUGGCGAAGGCAAUCCCCUGGGCCUGUACUGACGCUCAUGCACGAAAGCGUGGGGAGCAAACAGGAUUAGAUACCCUGGUAGUCCACGCCCUAAACGAUGUCAACUGGUUGUUGGGUCUUCACUGACUCAGUAACGAAGCUAACGCGUGAAGUUGACCGCCUGGGGAGUACGGCCGCAAGGUUGAAACUCAAAUGAAUUGACGG
rnacentral:rRNA from 1 species